CAGCCGUAAACUAUGCUCGCUAGGUGUCAGGCAUGGCGCGACCGUGUCUGGUGCCGCAGGGAAGCCGUGAAGCGAGCCACCUGGGAAGUACGGCCGCAAGGCUGAAACUUAAAGGAAUUGGCGGGGGAGCACCACAACAGGUGGAGCCUGCGGUUUAAUUGGACUCAACGCCGGGAAGCUCACCGGAUAAGACAGCUGAAUGAUUGUCAAUCUGAAGGUUUUACAUGACUAGCUGAGAGGUGGUGCAUGGCGUAGACGUCU
rnacentral:rRNA from 1 species